GGGAUGCUGGAGGUAUCAGAAGUGCGAAUGCUGACAUAAGUAACGAUAAUGCGGGUGAAAAACCCGCACGCCGGAAGACCAAGGGUUCCUGUCCAACGUUAAUCGGGGCAGGGUGAGUCGACCCCUAAGGCGAGGCCGAAAGGCGUAGUCGAUGGGAAACAGGUUAAUAUUCCUGUACUUGGUGUUACUGCGAAGGGGGGACGGAGAAGGCUAUGUUGGCCGGGCGACGGUUGUCCCGGUUUAAGCGUGUAGGUGUGUGUUCCAGGUAAAUCCGGUUCACUUUAACACUGAGGCGUGAUGACGAGGCACUACGGUGCUGAAGCAACAAAUGCCCUGCUUCCAGGAAAAGCCUCUAAGCAUCAGGUAACAUCAAAUCGUACCCCAAACCGACACAGGUGGUCAGGUAGAGAAUACCAAGGCGCUUGAGAGAACUCGGGUGAAGGAACUAGGCAAAAUGGUGCCGUAACUUCGGGAGAAGGCACGCUGAUAUGUAGGUGAAGUGGUUUACCCAUGGAGCUGAAAUCAGUCGAAGAUACCAGCUGGCUGCAACUGUUUAUUAAAAACACAGCACUGUGCAAACACGAAAGUGGACGUAUACGGUGUGACGCCUGCCCGGUGCCGGAAGGUUAAUUGAUGGGGUUAUCCGUAAGGAGAAGCUCUUGAUCGAAGCCCCGGUAAACGGCGGCCGUAACUAUAACGGUCCUAAGGUAGCGAAAUUCCUUGUCGGGUAAGUUCCGACCUGCACGAAUGGCGUAAUGAUGGCCAGGCUGUCUCCACCCGAGACUCAGUGAAAUUGAACUCGCUGUGAAGAUGCAGUGUACCCGCGGCAAGACGGAAAGACCCCGUGAACCUUUACUAUAGCUUGACACUGAACACUGGUCCUUGAUGUGCAGGAUAGGUGGGAGGCUUUGAAGCGCGGACGCCAGUUCGUGUGGAGCCAUCCUUGAAAUACCACCCUUUAAUGGCUGGUGUUCUAACGUAGACCCGUGAUCCGGGUUGCGGACAGUGUCUGGUGGGUAGUUUGACUGGGGCGGUCUCCUCCUAAAGAGUAACGGAGGAGCACGAAGGUUAGCUAAUCCUGGUCGGACAUCAGGAGGUUAGUGCAAAGGCAUAAGCUAGCUUGACUGCGAGCGUGACGGCGCGAGCAGGUGCGAAAGCAGGUC
rnacentral:rRNA from 1 species